rnacentral:rRNA from 1 species
AAAAACAUGGCUUUUUGGUAAUAAUUUAAAGUCAGGCCUGCCCUAUGAAUUUUAAAUGGCUGCAGUAUCUUAACUGUGCAAAGGUAGCAUAAUCAUUAGUUUUUUAAUUGAAAGCUUGUAUGAAAGGUCUAAUGAAAAAAUAACUGUCUCUAUAAAAAUUUAUUAAAAUUUUAUUUUUAAGUAAAAAAGCUUAAAUCUAAAUAAAAGACGAGAAGACCCUAUAGAGUUUUAUAUUUAUAUAAAAUAAAUAUAUUUAAGUAUUAUAAAUUUUUGUUUUAUUAUAGUAUUUGGUUGGGGUGAUUGGAAAAUUAAGUUAACUUUUCUUUAUCAUUACAUUUAUUUAUGAAUAUAUGAUCCUUAGUAAAAGAUUAAAAGAUAAAAUUACCUUAGGGAUAACAGCGUAAUUUUUUUUAAGAGUCCUAAUCGAAAAAAAAGAUUGCGACCUCGAUGUUGGAUUAAAAUAUAUUUUUGGUGUAGAAGCUAAAUAAUUAGGUCUGUUCGACCUUUAAAAUUUUACUUGAUCUGAGUU